CUGCCGGCAGUCACGGGGCAGUUCCUGCGGACCUCCGCGGGAGACGGAGCGGGCUCCGUUCCGUUGUCCGCUCCUAACGCUGCUGGGGCUGAGAAGCGGUUGCUGUGAGGUCUCUCGCGGUCAGGCUCAGCCCAAACCGGCUGAGCGAGGACUGCGGCGGAGCCUCUCUUCAGCUCGAAGCGGUGUGCUCGUAGAAGCGGAGCACGAUGUUUCCAGUGCGGAGACCUGGUGGGGCAGCUUGUGUAAUUGGAAUGCUGUUGUGGAUGGCUCUCUUCUUUCUAGGUAAGACAGACCUAGGUAAGCAAGGUGGUGGAGCUGCUCUUCCAGUGGGAGAAUGGGAAUGUACUGAGCUCUGCCUAGGGAUGAAGGAAGAACUAGCGGAGUGCUUGCAUGUGAGGCUCAAGAGGCAGGAAACUGCCUGAAGAUUGGAGGAUAGCUGAUGGUGCUGCAGCCUUGAGAAAGGGCAAGAAGGACGGCCUUAUCUCUGUUUCUGGAAAGGCGAUUGUAUGGAGAAUGCUGAGUCAUGGCCUGAACCUCUGAUUGCUCACUUGAGACCCAUUUAAGAGCUGGCUGCUGGGGGGGAAGGAUCUCUUUUGGAGGUUUGCUGUGCUGGAGUUUGUGAUGAAACAGCUUGUUCCAGAUGUCAUCUCCAAGUGACUGGAAGAGAAGAAAUGUCUAAGGAGCAGUUGAGAUGGAUUCAUUGUGGUAGGGAAGUGGGGUGUUUCUGUUUUGUGUGGCUCUGUGAUUGAUCUUGUUGCGGGUUGAAGGCUGGAGUAUGUGAGCGGUUUUGCCAGUGGUGAGGAUUCCAGUUUUGUCUCUGGAGCAAGGUGAGCUGUAUCUUGGAUUCCUUCCUUGUGUGUUGUACUGGGAUGGAGUUUAUGACUGGGUGUGAGGGUGAUGUGUUUCUCUUGCAGGUUUGAAUGUGUGCAGCAGAUCCUGUGCUGGAGCAAUGGAGUUAAGUGAGAACAAUCUUUCUCUGCUGGAGUUAGCUUUGUCAGGUGAUUUCACUGAGACUUCUAUCUGGUUGCUCACUUUAACUCAGGAGCGUGCUACCUGAUGGAAACCUUUGCACUGGAUCUCAAGUCAGACUGACCUCCUCCUGUGACACUUGGACUAACUCUGCGCUCAGAUCAGCAUUCAGCAACAUCACUGUGCUAUCCCACCCUACCAGAACUCUUUACUCUGGGAAGUAAUCACUGCGUUCUUCAGGCAGCGUUUAUUGCCUUACGAGAAGGAAGCACUCAGAGUCCCUAUAAAGUGAAAAGCAUACUGGAAGCUGCUCUCUCCACUGAGGGACGAGCUGACACCACGCUUCUCUGCCAAGACUUGACGGGAGUGAAGCAGGUUCACUGUAGGUUACCUACCUCUGAGCGACUGUUUCUCAACAGCAUAUGGAAUCCCAAGGACAACACACAACAAAUAAUAUCCCUCCAAUAGAAAAUGGAGUUCCAAUAUUCAAGCCGUCUCAAUAAAAAAUUCUCACAAAACAAAAAACUCUAUCACUCCCCUUGGUUCUUCUCUCUCCACACACCAAGAGUGAACAAAGCCAGACAAGCAGCAUUACUUCGGACAGAUUCUGUUAGUGCAACAUUGGAUAUUAUGCUUCACAGCUUUCAGUUAAUUCAGGCAGAGGAGGCUAAUUAGAAAUUAAUACAUAAAAUAGAGUACAGCACUCCAUGUGCAGGAGAAUAAUAUAUAUUCUCAAAUGACAAGUUAAAAAGAAGCUCUUUAAGGAUGCCUUUCUGAGAGCAUGAGAGUACUCCAGCCCCCAGCAGUUCAGAUGACACUGAACCGGGCAGAAUAUUUACAAAACCACAGAAUUAAAUAAAACCAGGAAGGGAUUUCUACAGGUACAAUGCUAAGAAGAGAAAGGGCGAGGAAAGCGUACUCGCUCUCGUAAGUGAGAAAAGGCAGCGUCACACGUAGGGAAGGCUGAGGUGCUCAACGAGUUCUUCAACUCAAUCUUUGCUGGCAGUCAGGCUUUCCAUCUCUCUCGUAUCCCUAAACCUCUGGGCUGGGGGAUCAAAAUCCCUUACGGUGUAAGAGAAGAGUGAGUCUGAGACCACUCAAUGAAACUGAAUGUGUACAAGUCUAUGGGGCCUGAUAACAUGCAUUCUAGGGCCAAGACCUGCUAGAUAAGAGCACAGACCAGCAAAUGGAACUCACUGAGAUUAGCCUUGCAGAGAAGAGCUUGAGGGUUCCAGUGGACUAGAAGCUCAAUGCGUGCCGACAGCACACACGGCCCAGAAAACUAAGGCAAUCCUGGGCUGCAUCAAGAGAGGGAGGCGAUCAUCCCCCUCUAUUCUGCUCUUAUGAGGCUCUAUCUCAAGCCCUGUGCCUGGGGCCCUUAGUACAAGACAUAACUGAAGCUGAUAGAGUAGGUCCAUAGCAAAGCCACAAAGAUGGGCAACUAGCUGCAGCACCCCUCCUAUCAAGAAAAGUUGAGGGAAUUGGGUUUGCUUAUCUCAGAGAAGAAAAUGCCUCACUGCAUCUUCUAGCACUUGAAGGAAGCUUAUAAACAGGAGAAGGACCAACCAUUUACAUGGUCUAUGUAGCAAUGUAAUGCGAUGGAAAGUACAUCGCUAACAGCAGGGUGGCAGAGCCCUCAGCUGCAGCAAAUGAGAACAAGCCCAAAUGCUGCUGCUGCAGCAGCAGGUACGAAUGCAGAAACAAACAAAAAAAGUAGCUGCUUACCUUCAGAAGAUCUCCAGGAGGCAGGAAUCACCAGCAAGGCACCCUCACCUCCUGUGCCAACUCUUAAAUGAGGCCUGGGAAGGCGUGAAUCCUGGCUCCACCCCUCCCGGUCAAUCAGCUGCAUUGCAUGCACCUGAGCUCCCCUGGCUUGGCCCCGCCUUCCCACCAGGUGUGCAAUCACCUGUUCCAGCUGUGAUAUGACGUUUACCCUACAGCCUGAUAGCCACAGGGCAAGGUGGAACGGCUUUAAAACUAAAAGAGGCAAGAUUUAGGUUAGGUAUUAGGAGGCAGAAAUUUAUUACUCGAGGUGUUGAGGCACCGGCACAGAAUGCCCUCUGAAGUUGUGAUUAACUCGUCUCUUGAGACGUUCAAGGCCAGGUUGGAUGGGGCUCUGGGCAGCCCGAUCGAGUGGGUGGCAGCCCAGCCUGUGGCAGAGAUGUCUUUACGGCUUGAUGAUCCUUAAGGUCUGAGCCGUUCUGUGACAGAAAUGGAUGAACCAAGACCAAUAAAUACUUACUGAUCUGUGUUUAAAAAAGCAUUAUUUGCGGGAAUUUCUAAAAAAAUAAUAAAAUGGUGUGACUUUUGGAUGCUAUACUAGAAAGAGAGCAGCUUCAUAUGAGUUCAGAAAAUAAA